rnacentral:rRNA from 1 species
AGCAAUCUGCCUUGGAGUGGGGAAUAACGGUUGGAAACAGCCGCUAAUACCGCAUGAUACAGCUGAGCCGCAUGGCUCUGGCUGUCAAAGAUUUAUCGCUCUGAGAUGAGCUCGCGUCUGAUUAGCUGGUUGGCGGGGUAAAGGCCCACCAAGGCGACGAUCAGUAGCCGGACUGAGAGGUUGGCCGGCCACAUUGGGACUGAGACACGGCCCAGACUCCUACGGAAGGCAGCAG